GACGAACGCUGGCGGCAUGCCUAAUACAUGCAAGUCGAGCGAACAGAUGAAGUGCUUGCACUUCUGACGUUAGCGGCGAACGGGUGAGUAACACGUAAGGAAUCUACCUAUAAGCGGGGGAUAACAUUCGGAAACGGGUGCUAAUACCGCAUAAUAUCUUCUUCCGCAUGGAAGAAGAUUGAAAGACGGCUCUGCUGUCACUUAUAGAUGACCUUGCGGUGCAUUAGUUAGUUGGUGGGGUAAUGGCCUACCAAGACGAUGAUGCAUAGCCGACCUGAGAGGGUGAUCGGCCACAUUGGGACUGAGACACGGCCCAAACUCCUACGGGAGGCAGCAGUAGGGAAUCUUCCGCAAUGGGCGAAAGCCUGACGGAGCAAUGCCGCGUGAGUGAAGAAGGCCUUCGGGUCGUAAAACUCUGUUAUAAGAGAAGAACAAAUUGUAGAGU
rnacentral:rRNA from 1 species